AAAAGAGGGGGUACACAUUCCAAGUCAACCAGGAAGAUUAGGAGGCUAUAAAUUCUGGCAAGUUACUAUACAUAAUGGAUAAAAGAACGAAGUUUCUCAAGACUACGUCAAGAUUAUUGCAAAAAAGAGAGAAUACUAGGAAAAUGACGUACCCUGUCCUUGCUUCUCUCUGCAACCAUAGGUGCGAGUUCUAAAUCCUGGCGGGAGAAAAUCUCAGGCUUCCUGGCGA